CAGCAGCCGCGGUAAUACGAAGGGGGCUAGCGUUGCUCGGAAUUACUGGGCGUAAAGGGAGCGUAGGCGGAUGUUUAAGUCAGAGGUGAAAGCCCAGGGCUCAACCUUGGAACUGCCUUUGAUACUAGACAUCUUGAGUGUGGGAGAGGUAAGCGGAACUCCGAGUGUAGAGGUGAAAUUCGUAGAUAUUCGGAAGAACACCAGUGGCGAAGGCGGCUUACUGGCCCAUUACUGACGCUGAGGCUCGAAAGCGUGGGGAGCAAACAGGAUUAGAUACCCGAGUAGUCCCUGUCUCUUAUAC
rnacentral:rRNA from 1 species